GUUCAUCUUCGGGGCAGGGUGCAAUUCCCGACCGGUGGUUAAAGUCCACGAUCUGCUUUUUUAGCAGUUGACUCUGGUGUAAUUCCAGGACCGACAGUAUAGUCUGGAUGGGAGAAGAUGUUG
rfam:Listeria monocytogenes EGD-e, complete genome